rnacentral:lncRNA from 1 species
AUCAGGACGAAAGGGUAGAUUAAUAUUGGGAUUUUAUAGUCCCUCAUUUCUCGAGUUAAUUCUUUGAGAAGCGGGUGAAAAAAUGAGGAUUCAUAUAGAAGUUCUAUUUUGAGUGAUAGAACAUAUUAGCCCUCAUCUGUAGAUGAGGUUAGAGAGAGAGAGACACACACACAAUGAGAGUCCACAAAUCAGCAAAAGAAGUGUAAGUUAUCACAUUCU